rnacentral:misc_RNA from 1 species
CAUCUUUGUUCCACAUAUCAAGAAUACCUCCCACUCUUCCUACCGAGCUUGCAAGGACCCGAUCCAGGUUUCCUAUGCCCUACAACCUUGGCAUUGCGGAAAAAUUAAACUUUCACACUUAGUUUGCAAGAAAGACACUUUGAAGUUCAAGAUAAGGUGUUUGAGGUGGGACUUCUUAGAGCUACCACCUACGCCUCUACAAUUCCACAAUAAAUAGAUAACAUACUGCCUUAAUAGACACACUGG